AGAGUUUGAUCCUGGCUCAGAACGAACGCUGGCGGCAUGCCUAACACAUGCAAGUCGAACGAGAUCUUCGGGUCUAGUGGCGCACGGGUGCGUAACGCGUGGGAAUCUGCCCUUUGGUUCGGAAUAACAGUUGGAAACGACUGCUAAUACCGGAUGAUGACGAAAGUCCAAAGAUUUAUCGCCAGAGGAUGAGCCCGCGUAGGAUUAGCUAGUUGGUGUGGUAAAGGCGCACCAAGGCGACGAUCCUUAGCUGGUCUGAGAGGAUGAUCAGCCACACUGGGACUGAGACACGGCCCAGACUCCUACGGGAGGCAGCAGUGGGGAAUAUUGGACAAUGGGCGAAAGCCUGAUCCAGCAAUGCCGCGUGAGUGAUGAAGGCCUUAGGGUUGUAAAGCUCUUUUACCCGGGAUGAUAAUGACAGUACCGGAGAA
rnacentral:rRNA from 1 species